AGCUGACAGGAAGGCCAUGGUGAAACUGCCCAGCAUAUCGUCCGCAUCCUGCUGCCAACCAUCGCUGACCUGCAGCAUACACGGGGUGCGUGUGACAGGCUUGCAGCGUCACCAAAAAUGCCUCACACCCCAACCAUAGACUGUUUACUCUCCUGCCAUCAGGGAGGUGCUACAGGAGCCAUAGGUCCCGAACCGGCGGGGGGCCUUAGGUCCCGAACCGGCGGGAGUCGUAGGUCCCGAACCGGCGGGAGUCGUAGGUCCCGAACCGGCGGGAGUCGUAG